AUGGUUAAGUUAGAAAGGGCGCACGGUGAAUGCCUUGGCACUAGGAGCCGAUGAAGGACGGGACUAACACCGAUAUGCUUCGGGGAGCUGUAAGUGAGCUUUGAUCCGGAGAUUUCCGAAUGGGGAAACCCACUGUUCGUAAUGGAACAGUAUCUUUAUCUGAAUACAUAGGAUAUUGAAGGCAGACCCGGGGAACUGAAACAUCUAAGUACCCGGAGGAAGAGAAAGCAAAUGCGAUUUCCUGAGUAGCGGCGAGCGAAACGGAAUUAGCCCAAACCAAGAGGCUUGCCUCUUGGGGUUGUAGGACACUCUAUACGGAGUUACAAAGGAACGAAGUAAAUGAAGCGACCUGGAAAGGUCCGUCAAAGAAGGUAACAACCCUGUAGUUGAAACUUCGUUCCCUCUUGAGUGGAUCCUGAGUACGGCGGAACACGUGAAAUUCCGUCGGAAGCUGGGAGGACCAUCUCCCAAGGCUAAAUACUACCUAGUGACCGAUAGUGAACCAGUACCGUGAGGGAAAGGUGAAAAGCACCCCGGAAGGGGAGUGAAAGAGAUCCUGAAACCGUGUGCCUACAAGUAGUCAGAGCCCGUUAAUGGGUGAUGGCGUGCCUUUUGUAGAAUGAACCGGCGAGUUACGAUCCCAUGCAAGGUUAAGCUGAUAAGGCGGAGCCGUAGCGAAAGCGAGUCUGAAUAGGGCGUUUAGUAUGUGGUUGUAGACCCGAAACCAGGUGAUCUACCCAUGUCCAGGGUGAAGUUCAGGUAACACUGAAUGGAGGCCCGAACCCACGCACGUUGAAAAGUGCGGGGAUGAGGUGUGGGUAGCGGAGAAAUUCCAAUCGAACCUGGAGAUAGCUGGUUCUCUCCGAAAUAGCUUUAGGGCUAGCCUCAUGUUGUGAGAGUCUUGGAGGUAGAGCACUGAUUGGACUAGGGGCCCCCAACGGGUUACCGAAUUCAGUCAAACUCCGAAUGCCAAAGACUUAUCCAUGGGAGUCAGACUGCGAGUGAUAAGAUCCGUAGUCAAAAGGGAAACAGCCCAGACCACCAGCUAAGGUCCCCAAGUAUACGUUAAGUGGAAAAGGAUGUGGAGUUGCUUAGACAACCAGGAUGUUGGCUUAGAAGCAGCCACCAUUUAAAGAGUGCGUAAUAGCUCACUGGUCGAGUGACUCUGCGCCGAAAAUGUACCGGGGCUAAACGUAUCACCGAAGCUGUGGAUUGACAUCUUAGAUGUCAGUGGUAGGAGAGCGUUCUAAGUGCUGUGAAGUCAGACCGUAAGGACUGGUGGAGCGCUUAGAAGUGAGAAUGCCGGUAUGAGUAGCGAAAGACAAGUGAGAAUCUUGUCCACCGAAUGCCUAAGGUUUCCUGAGGAAGGCUCGUCCGCUCAGGGUUAGUCGGGACCUAAGCCGAGGCUGAAAAGCGUAGGCGAUGGCCAACAGGUUGAUAUUCCUGUACCACCUCCCCGCCGUUUGAGUAAUGGGGGGACGCAGUAGGAUAGGGUAAGCGCGCUGCUGGAUAUGCGCGUUCAAGCAGUUAGGCUGAUGAGUAGGCAAAUCCGCUCAUCAUAAAGGCUGAGCUGUGAUGACGAGGGAAUUAUAGUACCGAAGUUCCUGAUUCCACACUGCCAAGAAAAGCCUCUAGCGAGGCGGGAGGUGCCCGUACCGCAAACCGACACAGGUAGGCGAGGAGAGAAUCCUAAGGUGAUCGAGAGAACUCUCGUUAAGGAACUCGGCAAAAUGACCCCGUAACUUCGGGAGAAGGGGUGCUCUGGUAGGGUGUAUAGCCCGAGAGAGCCGCAGUGAAUAGGCCCAGGCGACUGUUUAGCAAAAACACAGGUCUCUGCGAAGCCGCAAGGCGAAGUAUAGGGGCUGACGCCUGCCCGGUGCUGGAAGGUUAAGAGGAGGGGUUAUCCUUUGGGAGAAGCUCUGAAUCGAAGCCCCAGUAAACGGCGGCCGUAACUAUAACGGUCCUAAGGUAGCGAAAUUCCUUGUCGGGUAAGUUCCGACCCGCACGAAAGGCGUAACGAUCUGGGCACUGUCUCAACGAGAGACUCGGUGAAAUUAUAGUACCUGUGAAGAUGCAGGUUACCCGCGACAGGACGGAAAGACCCCGUGGAGCUUUACUGUAGCCUGAUAUUGAAUUUUGGUACAGCUUGUACAGGAUAGGUAGGAGCCUGAGAAGCCGGAGCGCUAGCUUCGGUGGAGGCGUCGGUGGGAUACUACCCUGGCUGUAUUGAAAUUCUAACCCGCGGCCCUGAUCGGGCCGGGAGACAGUGUCAGGUGGGCAGUUUGACUGGGGCGGUCGCCUCCUAAAAUGUAACGGAGGCGCCCAAAGGUUCCCUCAGAAUGGUUGGAAAUCAUUCGUAGAGUGUAAAGGCACAAGGGAGCUUGACUGCGAGACCUACAAGUCGAGCAGGGACGAAAGUCGGGCUUAGUGAUCCGGUGGUUCCGCAUGGAAGGGCCAUCGCUCAACGGAUAAAAGCUACCCCGGGGAUAACAGGCUUAUCUCCCCCAAGAGUCCACAUCGACGGGGAGGUUUGGCACCUCGAUGUCGGCUCAUCGCAUCCUGGGGCUGUAGUCGGUCCCAAGGGUUGGGCUGUUCGCCCAUUAAAGCGGUACGCGAGCUGGGUUCAGAACGUCGUGAGACAGUUCGGUCCCUAUCCGUCGUGGGCGUAGGAAAUUUGAGAGGAGCUGUCCUUAGUACGAGAGGACCGGGAUGGACACACCGCUGGUGUACCAGUUGUCUUGCCAAAGGCAUCGCUGGGUAGCUAUGUGUGGACGGGAUAAGUGCUGAAAGCAUCUAAGCAUGAAGCCCCCCUCAAGAUGAGAUUUCCCAUAGCGCAAGCUAGUAAGAUCCCUGAAAGAUGAUCAGGUUGAUAGGUCAGAGGUGGAAGCGUGGCGACAUGUGUAGCUGACUGAUACUAAUCGAUCGAGGACUUAACCAAA
rnacentral:rRNA from 2 species